rnacentral:rRNA from 1 species
GAUGAACGCUGGCGGCGUGCCUAAUACAUGCAAGUCGAGCGAACAGACGAGGAGCUUGCUCCUCUGACGUUAGCGGCGGACGGGUGAGUAACACGUGGAUAACCUACCUAUAAGACUGGGAUAACUUCGGGAAACCGGAGCUAAUACCGGAUAAUAUAUUGAACCGCAUGGUUCAAUAGUGAAAGACGGUUUUGCUGUAACUCAUAGAUGGAUCGCGGUCGCAUUAGUUAGUUGGUAAGGUAACGGCUUACCAAGGCAACGAUGCGUGGCCGACCCGAGAGGGUGAUCGGCCACACUGGAACUGAGACACGGUCCAGACUCCUACGGGAGGCAGCAGUAGGGAAUCUUCCGCAAUGGGCGAAAGCCUGACGGAGCAACGCCGCGUGAGUGAUGAAGGUCUUCGGAUCGUAAAACUCUGUUAUUAGGGAAGAACAAAUGUGUAAGUAACUAUGCACGUCUUGACGGUACCUAAUCAGAAAGCCACGGCUAACUACGUG